CUGUUCAAUAUGUUUACUGGCAUUAAAACAUUUUAAAUAAAAUUUCUAAAUGAUAAAACUAACAAAACAUUACUGUUUUUUUGUGUAUUCAUGUUUUAAGGAAGGAAAACAAACUAGCAUUCUUGACACGACUCGACAUCUAUACUUUGCUUAGUUGACAAAGCAGCACAUCGACUUUACCCAUUUGUCAACCAUGAUAAUUGUUGAAUGAAACAAACGUACUUGCCACAGGUUUACCACUAAACAACUAAUUGACAAGUUUAGUUUUAAAACUGAACGAUUUU
rnacentral:lncRNA from 1 species